rnacentral:rRNA from 1 species
GACGAACGCUGGCGGCGUGCCUAAUACAUGCAAGUUGAGCGCUGAAGGUUGGUACUUGUACCAACUGGAUGAGCAGCGAACGGGUGAGUAACGCGCGGGGAAUCUGCCUUUGAGCGGGGGACAACAUUUGGAAACGAAUGCUAAUACCGCAUAAAAACUUUAAACACAAGUUUUAAGUUUGAAAGAUGCAAUUGCAUCACUCAAAGAUGAUCCCGCGUUGUAUUAGCUAGUUGGUGAGGUAAAGGCUCACCAAGGCGAUGAUACAUAGCCGACCUGAGAGGGUGAUCGGCCACAUUGGGACUGAGACACGGCCCAAACUCCUACGGGAGGCAGCAGUAGGGAAUCUUCGGCAAUGGACGAAAGUCUGACCGAGCAACGCCGCGUGAGUGAAGAAGGUUUUCGGAUCGUAAAACUCUGUUGGUAGAGAAGAACGUUGGUGAGAGUGGAAAGCUCAUCAAGUGACGGUAACUACCCAGAAAGGGACGGCUAACUACGUG